rnacentral:rRNA from 1 species
GACGAACGCUGGCGGCGUGCUUAACACAUGCAAGUCGAACGGAAAGGCCCUGCUUUUGUGGGGUGCUCGAGUGGCGAACGGGUGAGUAACACGUGAGUAACCUGCCCUUGACUUUGGGAUAACUUCAGGAAACUGGGGCUAAUACCGGAUAGGAGCUCCUGCUGCAUGGUGGGGGUUGGAAAGUUUCGGCGGUUGGGGAUGGACUCGCGGCUUAUCAGCUUGUUGGUGGGGUAGUGGCUUACCAAGGCUUUGACGGGUAGCCGGCCUGAGAGGGUGACCGGCCACAUUGGGUCUGAGAUACGGCGCAGACUCCUACGGGAGGCAGCAGUGGGGAAUAUUGCACAAUGGGCGGAAGCCUGAUGCAGCAACGCCGCGUGCGGGAUGACGGCCUUCGGGUUGUAAACCGCUUUCGCCUGUGACGAAGCGUGAGUGACGGUAAUGGGUAAAGAAGCACCGGCUAACUACGUG